GGCCUUUUGAUUAUAAUUUAAGGUCGGGCCUGCCCAAUGACAAAGUUUAAUGGCCGCGGUAUAUUAACUGUGCGAAGGUAGCAUAAUCAUUAGUUUUUUAAUUGAAAGCUAGAAUGAAGGGUUUAAUGAAAAAAGUUCUGUCUUUGGUUAAAUUUAUUAGAAAUUUAUUUUUAAGUAAAAAAGCUUAAAUAAUUAUUGAAGACGAGAAGACCCUAUAGAGUUUUAUAUUUGGGGAUAUUAUUGUAUUUAGUAUUUUUAAAUUAAUAUUCUUGAGUAUUUAAUUGGGGUGAUUUAAAAAUUAAAUAAACUUUUUUUUUAUUAAACAAUGAUUUUUGAAUAAAUGAUCCUUUUUUUAGAUUAAAAGAAUAAAUUACCUUAGGGAUAACAGCGUGAUUUUUCUUAGAGUUCUUAUCAAAAGAAAAGAUUGCGACCUCGAUGUUGGAUUAAAAUGAAUUAUUGGUGUAGAAGCUAAUAUAAUUAGGUCUGUUCGACCUUUAAAUUUUUACAUGAUCUGAGUUUAGACCGGCUUAAG
rnacentral:rRNA from 1 species